CAAUAAAAGAAGCAUGGUAAUGUGCACAUAAAUUGAAUUGGGUCUCUAGGCCUACCCUCUUUGAUGCCAUUUUACUUUGAUUUGAAGGUAUGGCUCCGCAGCAAAAUA